rnacentral:rRNA from 1 species
AUUGAACGCUGGCGGCAGGCUUAACACAUGCAAGUCGAGCGGAGAGAGGUAGCUUGCUACUGAUCUUAGCGGCGGACGGGUGAGUAAUGCUUAGGAAUCUGCCUAUUAGUGGGGGACAACAUUUCGAAAGGAAUGCUAAUACCGCAUACGUCCUACGGGAGAAAGCAGGGGAUCUUCGGACCUUGCGCUAAUAGAUGAGCCUAAGUCGGAUUAGCUAGUUGGUGGGGUAAAGGCCUACCAAGGCGACGAUCUGUAGCGGGUCUGAGAGGAUGAGCCGCCACACUGGGACUGAGACACGGCCCAGACUCCUACGGGAGGCAGCAGUGGGGAAUAUUGGACAAUGGGCGCAAGCCUGAUCCAGCCAUGCCGCGUGUGUGAAGAAGGCCUUAUGGUUGUAAAGCACUUUAAGCGAGGAGGAGGCUACUUUAGUUAAUACCUAGAGAUAGUGGACGUUACUCGCAGAAUAAGCACCGGCUAACUCUGUGCCAGCAGCCGCCGCAGUAA